rnacentral:rRNA from 1 species
UGGGGAAUUGUUCACAAUGGGCGCAAGCCUGAUGACGCAACGCCGCGUGGGGGAUGAAGGUCUUCGGAUCGUAAACCCCUGUCGAAUGGGACGAAAGACCCGGGAGCUAAUCAUCCUGGGAGUGACGGUACCGUUAAAGGAAGCCACGGCUAACUCUGUGCCAGCAGCCGCGGUAAUACAGAGGUGGCAAGCGUUGUUCGGAAUUACUGGGCGUAAAGGGCGUGUAGGCGGUCUUCUAAGUCAGACGUGAAAUCCCCCGGCUUAACCUGGGAACUGCGUCUGAUACUGGGAGGCUUGAGUAUGGGAGAGGGAUGUAGAAUUCCAGGUGUAGCGGUGAAAUGCGUAGAUAUCUGGAGGAAUACCGGUGGCGAAGGCGGCAUCCUGGACCAUUACUGACGCUUAAGCGCGAAAGCUAGGGGAGCAAACGG